UACCUGAAACUAACGUUAUACAACAAAUCUUGAAACAAUAAUUCAGCUGUUAUUCAGAUUACACAAUCUUAAAAAAUGCUUCAACAUUUUUAAAUAUAGAACGCUAACGUUAAUUAUGGUAACGUGACAUUGCUAAAAGUCGAAGGGGACUGAAAUGUAUCUGGAACGUUAACGUUGCUGUUAUCAACAGCGCAUUGCGAGAUUAUCAUCUAGAACAUGAUGAAGAAAUGUAGAAAUUGUGAAAGAAAGGCAGUGUUAUACUUGUUACAAGAUGUUAAUUUCUUUCAGUACAUCACCGGUGUUGAGGUCAUGGCCACUUGUUAACGUCUCCACCACGCCUGCUACACACAGCAGAAACUUGUGGAUCAUUGGUGACAGCUAUGUCCGGCGUGGUGUCCAGAGAGCUGCAGAGACCUUGGGAAGCACCCUCAGCAUGCCGGGCGUCCGUGUCUGCUGGUUUGGCUGGGGUGGACUGCAGUGGAGAGGCCUUUUCUCCUUCUUUUCCCACUCCCUGCGAGGAAGAGCAGCACCAGAUGUCCUCUUCAUCCACUGUGGCGGCAAUGACAUGGGGAAGGUCAGCAGUGUCAAGCUGGUCAGCAUGAUGAAGGAGGACCUGCACCAGCUUCACCUCCAGCAUCCUGGCAUUAAGAUAAUAUUUUCUUCAUUGGCCCAAAGGUGCAGGUGGGAGGCUGGUGGCAAUCCAGCAAAGAUUGAUAAGGCCAGGAAAUGUGUUUACAGUGUUAUGGCUACAUUUGUUCAUAGUUUAAAUGGUGCCAUAAUUGAGCACCCUCACAUCAGACACAUUCAUCUCACACCUAGGAGAAAUUAUAUGUUUUUAAGUAAAUUAGUUAAUUGUCUUAAAGACCACCUCCAAACGCAGUGAACUGCUUACAGUUGGCAGUGUCACUGCUUUUGAAUUUGGCCUUUAGGACACAUUUUGUUAGGCCUGAACAUAGCCCAGGCUGUCAUGGCUAAUGUUGAGUUUUUGAUAUUCAUCUAUAACUUGUUUAAAGUUUCAAUAAAUUCUAUUUAUAUUUGCA